rnacentral:rRNA from 1 species
UACGUAGGGUGCGAGCGUUAAUCGGAAUUACUGGGCGUAAAGCGUGCGUAGGCGGUUCGUUAAGUUCGUUGUGAAAGCCCCGGGCUCAACCUGGGAACUGCAAUGGAAACUGGCGGGCUUGAGUGUGGCAGAGGGGGGUGGAAUUCCGCGUGUAGCAGUGAAAUGCGUAGAGAUGCGGAGGAACACCGAUGGCGAAGGCAGCCCCCUGGGCCAACACUGACGCUCAGGCACGAAAGCGUGGGGAGCGAACAGG